rnacentral:tRNA from 1 species
GAUCCCUUAGCUCAGCUGGAAGAGCGCCACCUUGACGUGGUGGAGGUCACAGGUUCGAGCCCUGUAGGGAUCA